GACGAACGCUGGCGGUGUGCUUAACACAUGCAAGUGGUGCGACGAACCAGACUUCGGUCUGGGGCAAAGCCGCGAACGGGUGAGUAACACGUGGGUAAUCUGCCCCGAUGACUGGGACAACCCGAGGAAACUCGGGCUAAUACCGGAUGAUGUGCCUGGACAUAAGUCUGGUCACUAAAGGUAGCUUCGGCUUCCGCAUUGGGAGGGGCCCGCGGCCCAUUAGCUUGUUGGUGGGGUCAAGGCCUACCAAGGCAACGAUGGGUAGCUGGUCUGAGAGGACGAUCAGCCACACUGGGACUGAGACACGGCCCAGACUCCUACGGGAGGCAGCAGUGGGGAAUCUUGCGCAAUGCGCGAAAGCGUGACGCAGCAACACCGCGUGAGGGAAGACGGCCUUAGGGUUGUAAACCUCUUUCAGAUGGGACGAAGGUACGACGGUGAAUAGCCAAUCGGAUUGACGGUACCGUCAGAAGAAGCUCCGGCUAACUACGUGCCAGCCGCCGCGGUAA
rnacentral:rRNA from 1 species